AUAUUUUAGGAUCCAAUUGGCUUGAGAAAAAUAUUUACUCUUGCUUAUGUGAAGCAUGGGUAAGGUGGUGAAUAAAUAAUUGGAGCUUGAAAUUGUGAAUACUGGAAAUUGGAGGAAGUGGAUUAAUUGAGGUUUUGAGGACUGUGUUCUUUUAAGAAAAUUGUCUUGGAAUAAUACUUGGGAAUCGGCUAAGAUGCAGGUCGAGAGGCAUCUCGUUAGGCGUCUGGACCCUUGAACCAAAGUGGUUACUGGGCUAUUUUGUUGUACAGUGAUGUAUAUGUAUGUACUUAGCUUUCUCUCCGCAUAAUUUAUUCUUUUUGAUCCUCUUAGAGGUUUAAGGAGAGGCAGGAUUGUGUAUAUGUACUUUUAGGUUUUGGAUAUGUAUGUACAUAUGUGUAAAUAUUCACCGGCCAGUCUUGACAUCGCAGGUUGAGUUAGGAGCUUGUUAUUUUGUAUCUUUGGUACUAUAUUCCUA